rnacentral:rRNA from 1 species
AGCGAACGCUGGCGGCGUGGAUAAGACAUGCAAGUCGAACGAAGCUUUUUCCUUGGCAACAAGGAAAAAGUUCAGUGGCGAACGGGUGAGUAACACGUGGGAACUUGCCCUGAAGUGGGGAAUAGCCCAUCGAAAGAUGGGGUAAUUCCGCAUGUGAUCGAAAGAUCAAAGUAGGGGACCUGCAAAGGCCUUACGCUUCAGGAGAGGCCCGCGGCCCAUCAGCUAGUUGGUGAGGUAAUGGCCCACCAAGGCUAAGACGGGUAGCUGGCCUGAGAGGGUGGUCAGCCACACUGGGACUGAGACACGGCCCAGACACCUACGGGUGGCAGCAGUCGAGAAUUUUUCACAAUGGGCGAAAGCCUGAUGGAGCGACGCCGCGUGGAGGAUGAAGGCCUUCGGGUUGUAAACUCCUGUCACCCUGGACCAAGACUUUCAGCUUGAAUAAAGCUGGAAGUUUGAUUGUACAGGGAGAGGAAGGGACGGCAAACUCUGUGCCAGCAGCCGCGGUAAUACAGAGGUCCCAAGCGUUGCUCGGAUUUACUGGGCGUAAAGGGUGUGUAGGAGGUUAGAUAAGUCGGAUGUGAAAUCCCUUUGCUUAACAAAGGAACUGCAUUCGAUACUGUCUAGCUAGAGGACCGGAGGGGGAAGCGGAACUCUCGGUGUAGCGGUGAAAUGCGUGGAUAUCGAGAGGAACACCGGUGGCGAAGGCGGCUUCCUGGACGGUACCUGACUCUGAUACACGAAAGCUAGGGGAGCGAACGGGAUUAGAUACCCCGGUAGUCCUAGCCGUAAACGGUGUGCGUUAGGCGUUGGCGGAAUCGACCCCGCCAGUGCCGUAGCUAACGCGUUAAACGCACCGCCUGAGGAGUACGGCCGCAAGGCUAAAACUCAAAGAAAUUGACGGG